ensembl:lncRNA
AGUCUGUACAAAGUCAGACUGUAGAUCCUGAAAGUACCCUCUAACUAGGCUCCAGAAACAGAAAAAAACACUAAAAUUCAAGUGGAACCAUGACAGAUCCCUAACAGCUGAAACAAUCUUAAGAAGAAAGAACAAAGCUGGAGGCAUCGCAGUUCCUUUUUUUGGCCACACCUUGAGACUUUCAGGAUCUUAAUUCCCUGAGCAGGGGCUGGACCCCGGACUUCAGCAGCCAAAGUGCAGAGUCCUAACUACUAGACUGCCAUGAAACUCCGAGCAUCACACUUACUGAUUUAAAACUUGACAGUAAAUCUAUAGCAGUCACACAGCAUGGUACUGGCAUAAAAACUGGGCUUCCCAGCUAGCGCAGCGGUAACGGAUCCGCCUGUCGAUACAGGAGACGCAGGAGACAGGGGUUCAAUCCUCAGCCUGGGAAGAUGCCCUGGAUGAGGAAAUGGCAACUUGCUCCAGUACUCUUGCCUGAAGAAUCUCAUGGACAGAGGAGCCUGGCGGGCUGGGGUCCAAAGGGUCUCGAAGGGUUGGACAGGACUGAGCGAUGAAGCACGCAUGCCAAUGGAGGAGACACGGGGGUCUAUCCCGGGUCUGGGAAGAACCCACACGCUGAGCGGCGGCGAAGCCCGGGCGCCACAACUACUGAGCCUGCGCUCUAGAGCCCGGGAGCCGCAACUGCGGGAGCCCGAGCGCCCAGAGCCGGUGCUCCGCAACAAAGGAAGCCGCUGCGGCGAGAAGCCCGCGCACCGCAACCAGAGAGGAGCCCCCACCUUCUGCAACGAGAGCAGAGAGCACACGCAGCUAAGACGACUCAGCACAGUCAGACAAAUAAACAAGAGAUCUUCCCCAUCCAGGAACUGAAUCCGUGUCUUCUUCACUGUGGGCAGAUGCUUCACCGCCAAGCCUGUGGAUACAGGGAGAAUCUGAGAGGGGCUGAACGGAGGGACGAGACACUGACCUCCCAGAAUCCUUCACUCUGGAAUCCAUCUUGGCUGAGUGAUGGUCACACCACCAGCAAGGACCCUGAGUCAGACCAUCUGUGGGCCAAGCAGGAAGACCGGCCAGAGACAACCCGGACAGGAACCUCACAUACCCUGCUUGCUCUCCGUCGGGCGCCCCUUCCCAAUAAAGGCUCUUGCUUCAUCAGCGCGUGUGUCUUCUCAGACAAUUCAUCACCAAGAGUUAAAUGAGAGCCCACUCACGGGACCUGGAAGGGGCCCGUCCUUCCUGCAAUGCUCAGCCUGAGCCUGGGCUGCAAGGGAGGCUGGGAGAGUGCGUGUCUGGCACUUGGUCUUGUGAGCUGUCCCUACGCCCUCCUCACACCAAGCAGCUGUGGGCUCCUUGAGUGGAAAGCAGAAGUAGAAAACCAAUGAGAUUGUGGAAAUUUCUAAACGAUCUAUCAUUUGGCUUUAGUUUUCUUCCGUUCUCUCAGAUGCCAAUCUUUGCUCCCCAUCCUCUCUUCUCACUUGAGAUCAAAUUAAGCUUUCAAAAGCUAGUCAUUUUUAAUGGGCUGAUUGAGUGACUUCAUUGACUUGAAAGAACUUUCUGCCAACUGCCUUUAAUUGCUUUUUUUCCCCUUUAAAUCAAA